GCCAGGUGUGGUGGUGCAUGCCUGUAAUCCCAGCCACUGGGGAGGCUGAGGCAGGAGGACUGCAAGUUCUAAAUCAGCAACUUAGUGAGACCCUGUCCA
rnacentral:sRNA from 1 species